CCCACAGAAUCCCAGCAGUGGCUAGAUUAUAAGAAUCCCAGCCUUCUCUUUCUCUUCUGUUGUUGUCCUUCCUCCAUUUACAUCCAUAAGGGCUCUUGCGGUGAUUGACUUUAGCCGGGGGUCAAGGCAAGCUAUCUGAAAACUCCAUUUUGUGGGAUGAUGAAAGAGGAUUUUCUGUAGUCAUUUUGGGCUUCCUGAGGAGGAAAUGGCACCCACAAGGCUUAGGUGACUUGUCCAGGAUCAUCCAGGUAUUUAGCAUCCAAGGCAGCAUCUGAAGUCUCAUUUUGCAUAUGAGGAAACUGAGUCCCCAAGAACCUCUCAGCCUUCAUCUCUUUCCCCUCCCCUGUUAAAUCUGGUGCACCUUGUUUACCAAAUUGGAUGCCUGUGCCUGGAAGAAGGACCAAUCUUAGUGAGGAUGACAUGUCCAAAACUGAACCUAUGACAGCUGGUGGCUCAGUUCACCAGUUCCCAUUAGAAAUGUACUGUAUGGGGAAAACAAAUGUUUUUCCCACCUACAAGUAAUCAGGAAUUCUGCCAAUUUUGGAGACAUCUUCAAGGAAUAAUGCCCCAUCGAUGUUCCCUCAUAAGACCUCACCUGAAGUAUAGUGUCUCACUUUCCUCAUCUCCAAAAGGAAAGGGUUGUAGUCCUUGAAUUCAAAGAUCCUGUCCAUCUUUCAACCUCUGACCCAUUGACCUGUACUCAGAGAGGUGAAGGCUUUGAAAAAGCACAACUCAAAAUGGGAGCAAAUAAAAGGUUCAGUAGAAGUAGAGUACACCCAGCAUUUGAAGGAGCCUGAUUUGGGCUUAAAAGCUUUGGGAAACAACCACCAGGGAACAAAGUGAAAACCAGGGUCCUAAGGUGUGAAUUCCACAGACCUACAACCAGGUCUCCAUAUAAAUGGAAAUCAAGCUUGGUUUCCUCUCAGAUUCUUCUCUGUGUCUAUAUCAAGGGAAGAGAUCUUUCCCUCUGCACAAGAAUAUCCCGGGAACAUCAUUGGAAGCUCUUCAGAAAUAAAAAUUUUCUGCUCCUAUUUAGAUCUCUCUAUGAAAAGACAACCACACCCUCAAAAUGAGUCAAGCAACUGAGAGAGAGGCCAGUGAUGGGAUGGCAAAGGAGAAGUUGGAGUAUUCUAAAGAAGAGGAAGGACAUCAGAAGAGGAGGCAAGUCAGCAAACCUCUGAUGCAGACUC